AGAAUCAACGCUGGCGGCGUGCCUCAGACAUGCAAGUCGAACGCGAAAGUCCCCUUCGGGGGCAAGUAGAGUGGCGCACGGGUGAGUAACACGUAGGUAAUCUACCUUUGGAUGGGGAAUAACAACCGGAAACGGUUGCUAAUACCGCAUAAUGCAGCGGCACCUAAUGGUGACAGUUGUUAAAGCGGGGGAUCGAAAGACCUCGCGUCUGAAGAGGAGCCUGCGGCGGAUUAGCUAGUUGGUAAGGUAACGGCUUACCAAGGCUACGAUCCGUA
rnacentral:rRNA from 1 species